UGCCAGCAGCCGCGGUAAUACGGGGGGGGCAAGCGUUGUUCGGAAUUACUGGGCGUAAAGGGUUCGUAGGUGGCCUGCUAAGUCAGACGUGAAAUCCCUCAGCUUAACUGGGGAACUGCGUCUGAGACUGGUGGGCUUGAGGACAGGAGAGGAACGCGGAAUUCCAGGUGUAGCGGUGAAAUGCGUAGAUAUCUGGAGGAACACCGGUGGCGAAGGCGGCGUUCUGGACUGUUUCUGACACUGAGGAACGAAAGCCAGGGGAGCAAACGGGAUUAGAUA
rnacentral:rRNA from 1 species